UCCAUCGGAAGCUUUGGCAUGGAAUUCCACC
rnacentral:piRNA from 1 species